GAAAAACCUUGUCCAGACUGUGGUUAUGUUGUAGAGCUGCAGUCAAUCGGUGUCCACAUCACGGAGAAUGGCUGUACAAAGAUUUACUGUGAGAAUGAGCAGUUUAACUGCCCUAAAUGUUUUACAGUGACAAAAGUAAUUACUUGAUGUACGCUGAUGUAAAGUACACAUAAGUAUUUAUUAACAGUUUUCCAGUUUGAGCAAAAAUUUUACCCAGACACGAAAAAUGAUAUUUUUAUAGACAACGCGUUUUGAUAAUGGUAAUAAUUCUUAAAGACAACCCAUUGUUGCUCGUUUCAAUGCUAGGAUCAUGCGAAGGUGUUCGACUCAUUUUCUUAAAUUUCUUUAUAUACAAGUGUGCAGUGACAUCAUCAACAGGAAGGCGAUUGAGCGGAAGCAUGAGAGUGCUGAGAAGGAUUAGUGGUUUCAGCAGGAGGAGUGAGUUCAAAAAGUGAUAGUUUUUUUCUGGCUUUGAGGCCAUUGUUAAGUUCUGGUUUAAAAGAUUUAAUGAAAGGUGCUUCCAUUAAUAAUAGUCGAUUUUUGUUUACCUUUGUAU